rnacentral:rRNA from 1 species
UACAGAGGUGGCAAGCGUUGUUCGGAAUUACUGGGCGUAAAGGGCGCGUAGGCGGCCUUCUAAGUCAGACGUGAAAUCCCCCGGCUUAACCUGGGAACUGCAUUUGUGACUGCAUGGCUAGAGUUUGGCAGAGGGGGGUAGAAUUCCACGUGUAGCAGUGAAAUGCGUAGAUAUGUGGAGGAACACCGAUGGCGAAGGCAGCCCCCUGGGUCAAGACUGACGCUCAUGCACGAAAGCGUGGGGAGCAAACAGG